rnacentral:tRNA from 1 species
GCCAAUGUGACAUAGUGGUUUGAGUGUUGGACUGCUACUCUGGGCGCCAGGGUUUGAAUCCCUGCUUGGCCA